CAUCAUCCCACAGGAAGUGACAUCAUGACUGGAGCUCAAACAUCAUUACUCAGUGCUAACACGUCACAGAUGCUGGAGAAGCUCAGUCGUCGGAGACACAGGCCAUGGACCUCCCGCACUGAGAGAGAAACAGCAUCAAAUCUGGAGAAAAUGUCAGAUCCUUCAGUGUCUGUUUCUGCCACGUAAUUAAAAAAAGGUAAUUCAGCACAGAGAUCAGGUUUAAAGAAGACGGAUGGAUGACGGUGUGAAUGUGAGCUCAUGUUCUGCCGAGUGCAUUUGUCUCUGUGAAGGUUUGUCUGGUUAGUGAGUGAUCGUCUGAUGUCUGCUCUGUGCUCAUCACAGAGGAAUGACCAUAAAUCAAUCUGACGUCUGCUCUGCUUCACGCUGAAGUGCCGUGUCAAGUGUUUGAAUGCAGGCCCAUGUGCAAGCCAUUUGUUUGGGAUAAACGAGAAGAAAUGAUGGGCUGACGAGCUGCACAUCUGGAUGCACUAACAGCCGAACCGAUGCAUGCUGUCUGCAGGAAUGAAGGAGAAACCUCGAGAUUUCUCAACAGAGACGCGCUUCUUUAUGUGCUGUGAAGGACAGAAACGUAUGAGAGACACCUGCAGCGUUCAGAGGUCAUGUGACCGAUAGAGGAGCAAAGGUCAUGUGACCGAUGAUGAGCCAUCAAAAUAACUGGACUCGACAGAUUAAUAAAAAUGAUUCAGUUUUAUGAAAUUAAAAAAAUCAGUUUCUUGCUUUUAUCUCAGAAUUAUUUUAAACGUUUAGAAAACAGAAUAAGCACCAAAAU
ensembl:lncRNA